rnacentral:rRNA from 1 species
GACGAACGCUGGCGGCGUGCUUAACACAUGCAAGUCGAACGCUGAAGCUCAGCUUUUGUUGGGUGGAUGAGUGGCGAACGGGUGAGUAACACGUGAGUAACCUGCCCCCUUCUUUGGGAUAACGCCCGGAAACGGGUGCUAAUACUGGAUAUUCACUGGUCUUCGCAUGGGGGUUGGUGGAAAGGGUUGUUCUGGUGGGGGAUGGGCUCGCGGCCUAUCAGCUUGUUGGUGGGGUGAUGGCCUACCAAGGCUUUGACGGGUAGCCGGCCUGAGAGGGUGACCGGUCACAUUGGGACUGAGAUACGGCCCAGACUCCUACGGGAGGCAGCAGUGGGGAAUAUUGCACAAUGGGCGCAAGCCUGAUGCAGCGACGCAGCGUGAGGGAUGGAGGCCUUCGGGUUGGGAACCUCUUUCGCUCAUGGUCAAGCCGCAACAAUGGUUGUGGUGAGGGUAGUGGGUAAAGAAGCGCCGGCUAACUACGUG